CAAAAACAUGGCUCUUUGUUUUACCUAGUAUAGGGAGUCGAACCUGCCCAAUGAUUAUUUAUUUAAUGGCCGCGGUACUCUGACCGUGCAAAGGUAGCAUAAUCACUUGUCUAUUAAUUGUAGACUGGAAUGAAUGGUCUGACGUGAGAUAGACUGUCUUUUAUUAAUUUUUUAGAAUUUAAUAUUUAAGUUAAAAAGCUUAGAUUUAAUUAAUAGACGAGAAGACCCUAAUGAGCUUUAAAUCUCAGUUAAGAAGUUUAAUUAGGAUUAUUAGUUGGGGCGACUGAGGAACAAAAAAAGCUUCCUUAUAGAUAACAGGAUCCGGUAAAUACCGAUAUAAGAAAAUAGCUACCAUAGGGAUAACAGCAUAAUUUUUCUAAAGAGUUCAUAUCGAAAGAAAAGUUUGUGACCUCGAUGUUGGACUAGAGUAUCCAAGAGGUGCAGAAGCUUCUAAAGGUUGGUCUGUUCGACCAUUAAAACUCUACRUGAUCUG
rnacentral:rRNA from 1 species